CACGUGCCCAGAAGGCGCGAAUUCGGAAUCGUCUGGUUACGCGCACGUUUAAUGACAUUACAAGGUAAAGGAGUGGAUGAAGAUCAAUCCACUCUUCGGGCCUUGGCUUACACUUGUGUUAUCUCUGGAAAUCCAGGUCUUGACCACACAUGAUCCUCCAUGAUGUUCUUCCUACAACACAGCGAUCAACCAUUCAGCCUUCUGAUUGUCAUGUCCGUAAAAGAAAUGACCACGGACAGAUCAAGAACAGUAAAAGACCCACGGCAAUGAGAAUACGACAGGCUUGCAUUGUUCGGUUGAGGUAAGAGAUUGUUUCUUCGUGUACAAUGGACUGCAUCGCUCUCUCCAGAAGGGACUUGGGUAGGUAGGCCGAAAUUAGGCCUCUUACCUAUGCAAAGGUGGGCUUAAAGGGGCUGCCUGCUUUUGUUACAUUGACCUAUCCACCAAUAUCAGAGCGGUUUGGGAGCCAACCCCAGGCAUCCCCGCCAAUCUGAUAUUGAUGACCUAUCCUGAGGAAAGGUCAUAUAACAAAGUGGACAACCCCUUUAAGAAAUAAUAUCUAUAAGACUACGGCAGACGACUGAACAUCUGUUCACGUUUUUGGAAAUCAGAAAUGUUAACCCCUGCCUACCUGUAAACAGUCAAGGGAAAGGAAUAAAACUCUGCUUGCUGUCUCUGCUGCCCUCAAUGGGCAAUAAUGGGUACUACGUGAGGAGAUGAAUGGGAUUCUGCACAUGCAGGCAGCAGAAUACGACAGAGAGGGCGUCAUCUCGCCAUUAAAAUCUACAUGAAGAGUGGAAAUGAGUUUUCUGUACUGACUAUGAGUUGGAUCAUGUUUUCUUCUCUAUUCAGGUCUAAAGCUAAAUACAUAAUUCUGGUUUUCCCAUCACCAGUGCAUUAUGGGAGCAUAGAUGGCGCUUGCACAGUCGGAGCUCAGCUGGUAGGUAGGUCAGUGGAGCUAAUAACCAGCAGCUAUGAAUGGUGGAGGAGACAUGAAAUAGCUCACAGUUAGUACAAAUGGAGUGAAAGCGAAGUUACAGAACAUUUAAUGCAGAUUUAAGCUCUGUUCAUAUCUGCGCCGGGGCCUUAAAAAAAUGACAGAAACAAGGCAGACCCCCAUGGACAGUGGUCUUAAAGAUUUAUUUUUUUUAAGAUUUUCAUACUGAUGACCUAUCCUCUGGAUAGGUCAUCCGUAUCUGAUCGGUGGGGGUCUGACACCCAGGUCCCCCGCUAAUCAGCUGUUUUAAGAAGGGCUUCUCUUUGCCUUUUCUAGGCCGAGUGACGACACGUUCAUCGGUCAUGUGGCCUAGGCGCAGCUCGGCCCCAUAGAAGUGUAUGGGCCUGAGUACAAUACCGAGCACAGUGACCAGGGACGGAUUGGCCAUAGACCUUACAGGGAAAUUUCCUGGUGGGCCGAUGCCCAGGGGGCACCCUGAGCCACCCUCACGGCCGGCUAAUGAAGGUUUUUGGGCAUGUAUUUUGUCCUGCUGGGGCAGGAUUUUGUGAUGGACUGUGGCAUUUGACUGUAUUUUGGGGUGGUUUAAUGUGUUGGCCCUGCCUUCCAUCAAUUUGGACCUGACUACAAACGGGGCAAUUUUUUCCAGGGCCACUUUAAGUUCCCAGUCCACCCCUGACAGCGACUAUACAAUGUACGGUGCUGUGCUCACAUGUAACAGGUCAGCCAGCUUCAUAGGUACAAUAUGCCCUUUAAGGCUUCAUGCAUAUGACAUAUUUCAGCCCGCAAAAACCGUAUACCUUCCAUAUGCAUUCUGUAAAUAUUCUUGUCUGCAGUACAGACCAGAUCAGGGCACGUUCUAUAAAUUGCAGAAUGAAAAGAUGGAUUUGCAAAAUACACUGAUGUAUACAUGACCUCCAUAGAAAUGAAUGGGUCAGUGCGCUAGCAGCGGAUAACACACGGAUGAAAAAUACGGCUUUGUGCAUGAGGCCUUAUCCUGGUGCUAAACUCACACUGACUUUCAGGGGGGCAGGAAGAAACAUGGAUGCUUGCCUAUAACGGACAGUCAGAGGAAGCGACAGAAGAAACGUACAUUUCAAUAUCUCAAUCAUCUUGCAAUAAAACCUAAAAGAAAGUAACCAUGCCACUAAAGCUACAGCCAAAAGAGAUCUGCAAAACGAGCCUACAACGGAAAAGCAGCAGGGGGCGACAAAUCUACGCAGGUAGGGAGCGCAGAACAGCGGCUUAGGCCAUGCUAACAGAGGGGGGCGCUCACAAGCCACACGGAACAUUCUUAUACAUUCAGCUUUUUAAAUAUAGGUGUGGGAUCCAUUAAAACUAUGUAAAAAUAUAGUAAAUGAUUUGGAUGUGAAAUGGCGCCCCCUCCCCAUUCGCGGACCCGUACCAGAGAGUCCUAUACACCUGAUGCCCAAUGAAAUUAAUUGCCAUUAACCCCUUAAUGAAUAGCUAAUAUUUAAAAUGCUUGCCUCUCUGUGUUUAAGCAGCCAUGACUUUAUUUCUUUCAUUAACACGGCUGUACGAGGCCUACUGUUAUGCAGUAGAAAUUGCAUUAUUUUUGACGCUGUUGGAGAGUAUACGUAUAUGUUUUCAUUGCAAAUCUAGAAAAAGAGAUUUUUGACAUUUGCUUUAUUUAUUUUUUAUACCGUACAUAUAUUUAACACUAAACAACCAGUUAAAUGAAUUGUUCAGGUUAUUACGGUCACGUGGAUACUUAAUUAGUGUAGAUUUAGUAUUUACUUUUUUGGCUUUUAUGUACGGUAUGCACGAUAAAAAGUAUGUAAAAUAAUCUCUGAUUUGUUUGUUUGCUGGCUUUUUUUCUUUUACAUAUUUUUUUAAAUCCCAUGAAGGAAUUACUAUCUUACAAAGUUGAUUUAUACUUUGAAUGUACUGACCCACUCCUUUAUGCCAGUACAUUAUUCUCAGUGUCUCUAUAGCUGCGAUUCGGACAACACUGGUGUGCCCUGCCCGCAGGAUUUCUGAACUUACAGACCUUUCUAGGUCCCCAGGGCUGACUGCAGAGGACUUACACAGCCUCCGAUCAGAUCACUGGGACCCAAUCAGAGCGGGAAUCCCCUUUGAUCAUGGCGUGGUCACAGAGCGGCAAUCAAAGGGUUUACAGUUGGGAUCGGAGCUCUCUCUGAUCCUGGCUGUAGAGCAAAAGGCUGCUCUAAGAACCAGAGCUGUUAGUUACAGUUUACAGAGCAGGACUGCUCCGCGUUCAGCUCCCUCUAAAACAGCAACUGUCAUUAAGGGGUUAAAGGCACACCCCAGGCAAAACUGGUGUCCUGUUAUUGCAAAGGAGACACAAAGAUUAAAAUAACACAAGAGAAUCCGUGUGUCAUGCUCUGCCAUAGGCAUCAGUGUUUCAAUUUUGUUUGGGGUGUUCCUUUAAAAGUGCUGAUGUUAUCCUCUAUCCACAGGAUAGGGGUUAAUUAACUAGUCACUGAGGUUCCGACCGCUUGGAUCCCCACCAAUCCCAUGGAAGGCUGGGGGUCGGGGGGGUCCAGGUUCUCUGUCCUGAUAGAAUGGCAGGCCGCACACGCUCCUUGCCGCGCCAUUUGUUCUCUAUGGGACCGUUGGAAAUAGCGGUGUAUUCUGGCGGUCCCACAGAGAAUAAAUGUAGCGGCGCGGUGCAACUGGGACCCCCACCAAUGCUGAGAACAGUUGCAUGGACAGGGGAUAACUUCAAAUCUUAGCACAAUCCCUUUAAAUAAACCUAUGCGUGCUCUCAUAGGACCACCUCUCCAUGGAAAUCAAUAGGCGCUAAUUGCACAGACCCCAAUUUUUCCACACAAUCUCCCAAAUGCAUCAGUAUCAGCUUGGUGGGAGUCGGAUACUCGGGACCCCCGCAGAUCAGCUGUUACUGGCUGCUGCUGAAAUGAAUGUGCCCAGAGCUGGAAGCAGAAGGCUCCAUAUACUGUAUAGUGUCUGUGUCAGGGUAGUGAACCUUAGCUCCCAUUCAGGGAUCUGAGCUGCCGUACUCCAGAAAAUACACCGCAUGUGGCACCUCAUUCAUAAAAUGUUCAGUUUCACCUUUGGUGCCGCAGCUGCCCGGUCGGGGCCUAAAGCCUGGCACAGAAGGGGCCUCUUCCUAGGCUGGCGACAUCCCAUUCAUAUGGCCUAGGUACAGCUCAGUCCAUUUUAACUGAACGGGGCUGAGCAGCGAUAUCAAGCACAACCGCUAUACAAUGGACGGCACUGUGCUUGGUGAGCUGCAAGGAUGCCGUGCUGCUUACUGGAGCACUGAUGCUUCUUCAAACAGAUGUUUGGCAGAGGUGCUGGGCGUUGGAUCCCCACCGAUCACAGAAUGAUGGCCUAUCCGGAGGAUAGGCCCAUCAGUAUGAAAAUCUCGGAAAACUGGAGUCCGAUCAACUGUUCACAAUCCCUGGUGCCAGAACCAGGCACCGGAAAUACACUGGUGGCAUCAGUUGACCAACGGGGUUACUGAGAGGCUCACCCCCACUAAUCUGAGAGGGACCUAAGGGUAGGAGAGUCCUAAUAAACCACUUCAUAGACAUUUAGUGGGGGAUCUGAACUAUUUUGAAGAGAACAGACCUUAUGUGUCCGAGGACAGCACGACUAACCAGUGCGGUCCCUGAAAGAUCUCCCAGCAUCCAUUAUAAAGAUUAGAAUACCGAAUUUCAGAAAUGCUGCAGCCAAUAAAAAUAAAUGAUGCGUAAUAUCAUAAAUAACACAGCGACAUACGGGGGUCAUUAUCCUAGCGUCGUACCAGAUUCAACCUGACCUACCCCGAAAGCUGAUCCAAGGAAUAAAAUAAUGGCCAGAUCUUAGGUUCCAGAAAAAUACCAUUAUUACUGAUGCAAACACAGACGUCAUGUCCUUAAUUUAUAUUACACUAGAAAAGAGCAAAGCUUCACACUAAUGCAUUCAAAAUGCCAAAACCGGGUUUUUUGUUUGUUAGUUUUUUUUUUUUUAAAGCCAGUAUAAAAUGCGUUAACCUCUUAGUCUCUCUGUAACCGUGGUCCACAGCACUGCAGGAGUUACAUUACCAAUGGACUGGACUGAUUAUUGGCCAGCAAGGGGCGCACAGUAAUUAAACAAUGGAGACUGCUAACCUUAUACCACCCCUUUAAAUUGAGUGGGUUAAAAGCACCAACACAAAUGCCCGCCAGACCAACAGAAGACAUUUUUCUUCAGCAAAUGAAGUCCAGAGCUGUUAAAGGGGUUUUCCGGCCUUGAAGCGGACAACCCCUAGGCUCCUAACCAGUGCCUCUUUAUAUAUAAAAACCCUGCUCACUUGUCCGCGGUUCCAUCACUGCUCAAUUCCCGGCCACCUCCGGUCCCCGCAUAGGCGCUCAAGCCAAUGUGACUGUCGACACGACACGGCUACCUGGUUCUGCGCGGUCAGGAAGUGGCUAGUAAUGGAGGAAUGUCAGGAUAGGGGUUUUUUUUUAAUGUUAAGGGACACAGGUUAGGACCCCAGUGUUGGCCAGAUAACCCCCUUAAAAGGGUUUUCCAGAACUUAAAUAUUAAUGACCCUAUAUCCAACUGUUUGAAAGGGCACUUGGACAGGCACUGCAGCUGCUUCUUAGUAUACCGAGCACAGCGCCAUACAUUGGAUAGUGGCUGUGCUUGGAACUGCAGUUUAUUCCCAUUCAGUUGUAGAAAGGCCAUGUGACCAAUGGAGUUGAUAUCACAGGCUAGGGUGAGCACCACAGUCUCCUCAAACAGCUGAUCGGCGGGAGAGCUGAAAGUCGGACCCCCACCGAUCAGAUAUUGACGACUUAUCCUAUUUAAA